UUCCUUGAAAGAUAUCAAGGAAAUAAGCAUCAUAAGAUAAUAGAUUUCUACAUAAGGAGAAGAACGAACUUAAAUAAGAUUUAGUUCGUUGGAUGUUAUCUAUUACCCAUAUAUAGGAUAUAUACUUCUAAGACAAUAUGAUUGUCAAUUAGAAGAUCUUCCAAAUUUUUCAUGACUCCAUAAGAUGUAGUUGGAAAGAAAGACAAAUCUUAAUCAUGUUAAGAUUUGGGGUUGUUUGCUAAUAAGCAAUAUUUUUUUAUAACAAUCUUGUGGGAUAUUCUUAAAUUAACUUUUGGAUAUCGCUUCUAUAAACCAACUAACAAAUGUUGUUUUGUUGGGUAGUUCAUUGUAAUCCUACAAUGUGAUUUGCCUAAGAGCAAAUGAACGAGAGAUAGAACUCAAAGAAUGGGUUCUUUGAGAGACAAGAUGAUAAUCAACAAAUAUAACAACCUAGUUCCUAUACCACAAGCUCCAAGGUAGUCAAGAAGGAUUUAUAAACCGUCUCAGUUGAAUGGUUUGAACUUUAUGACUAUGUCAUAGAGUUGCACCUCUUAAUUCGAAAGAAAUAAGAAUGAAAAAUCCUUAUGACUACAUUGAGUGUAUAUAUGAUACAUACUCAAGGAAAUGGUAAAGUACCAUUUGACCCGAAAUAAUGAAACCUUCAUAAGCUAAUUGGUAGCUUAAGGUAACUACAAUCAAAAGGAUGGUUGACUUUGAAGAAACCAUUUUUUGACGUAGUCUUGGUUUCAAUUAAUUCGAAGA
rnacentral:lncRNA from 1 species